CUUUCCGCGAAAAACCAAUGCCAGCAUGGCCAUAAAACACUACAUACAAAUCGAAAUCUAAAAAGCGCGGAACUUUCAUAUAUUUUCCGUCGGAGCAAUUAUUUUUCAACCCUGUAGAAAAAGCGGGCUCAAUUAAUCGCGCGGAACGUUAUUUAUCUACUCUGUACAAAUAGUAGUGUUUAAAAUCGCGCGGAGAUUGUAGAAUGCUAUUUUAAGAAGUCUAUUAAAGAGAGAAAAUCCAGUAAAUACCAGAUCCAAAAAGCGCGGAACACAAAUAUCGUCCGCGAAAAUUAAGCAUUGAAUUACUGUACAAAUCUCGGGUUGUUAGGUGUUAGAAUCCCUAGUUACCCGAAAAAUUUGAUUGGAUCCGAUACUUAGAAAUAACCAAUCAGAUACUUUGUAACAAAUGCAACACAAUCAGUGCGUUCAGUAAGUAUAACGUUUCAAGAUGGCGGAGCGAAUUGCAUGGUUAUUGUUUCUACUCGAUGGAUUCGCAGAUAAUUCGGAAAUAGAUCAGAUUGGGAUCAAUAACUGUAUUGCAUACGAUCAUUUACAUGUAUUACCAGGUGUGUGUUGCCAGUAAUGGUUGAAGAUAUGCCAAACAAAUUGUGCCUCUCUAUACAGACAGAUUUCAGGUCUCAAUUUCGACUUCAAAGGUCAACAUAUCACUGAUAUCAGGAAUUCUGUACAACUGUGGAACCAUGUAUGGUACGUGACCGCACAAUGUUGGUUGGCAAAAGGAUAUUGGAAUAAGCAAAGGGACUCAACAUUACACAGUCAUUUCAACAUGUAGAGUCUUGUCAGCAAUGAUGGAGCAGUACUUCAGAUUUCCAGAAUCUCGUCAUGAGCUGAAGAUCAUUGCCUAUGAAUUUCCUGAAUGAUGUAGAAUGAUUGGACUGUUGAUGGAACCCACAGUGCAUGUCCUGCUUCAACAUCUGAGCAUAGGUCCUUGUUUAUCAGCAGUUUAGUUCUUCAAGCAGUCUGUGACAGUUACUUGAAAUGUUUGGACAUAUGACCUGGAUGGCCAAGUUCUGUGCAUGAUGCCCAUUUAAAUAGGAACGGCCCAGUGGCGCAUUAAAUGGACAUUUUUCGAAUGUUCUCAAGGAUUCAGCUUACCGCCUGACAAGAAAUCUUGCUUUUUGUUCAGUAUCGAGGCCAUGGACAUUUGUAUCAUUUGCAAAAGAUACUGCGAUAUUUGUGCCUUUGUUCAUGCUUUAUAGUUGAUUAACAAUUGGAAGCCAUAACCUGUUUUUAAGAUGGUGUUAGUGGGACAAUGAAUUUUGUAAAGAUUUAAAGACUGGAAAAGAUAAUUAAAAGUCAAAAGAGUUCUGCUAUUGUUAAGCAUGCUUUAUUGAUUUGUAAUGUUAGAAAGAUAGCAUUAUUAACAGAAUAAAAUGUCCAUAAUUUGAA